UAUGUCUUCUCUCACAGCAUGAGCAAUAUGGAAAUAUGUGUUGUAAAAAAAGCAUUUAUAUAACCUAUAUCAUACUAUUUACACCUAAGAGUUGGGAGAAAGGGAGGGAGAGAGAAUGAUAAAAUGUCUAAAAAUCCCCACCAAUUGCCAAAAUACAUAUAAUAGAAAGGAAGGAAGAAAAGAAGGAAGGAAGGAAGGAAGGAAGGAAGGAAGGAAGGAAGGAAGGAAGGAAGGAAGGAAGGAAGGAAGGAAGGAAGGAAGGAAGGAAGGAAGGAAGGAAGGAAGGAAGGAAGGAAGGAAAGAAGGAAGGAAAGAAGGAAGGAAAGAAGGAAGGAAGGAAGGAAAGAAGGAAGGAAGGAAGGAAGGAAGGAAGGAAGGAAGGAAGGAAGGAAGGAAGGAAGGAAGGAAGGAAGGAAGGAAGGAAGGAAGGAAGGAAAAGGAAGAAAGGAAGGAAGGAAGGAAGGCAAUGGGGGUUAAGUGACUUGCCCAGGGUCACACAGAGUGAUAGAGACAUGAGAGAGAAGUUUAGCAGGACUUUUGGACCAAGAUGCAAAAGAUAAGAUUCCAACGGAAUGUCCCUAGGAGGGACAAUUGGGGGUUGGCUGGCCACUCUUUUUCCCUGGAGGUUUGACGAUGGCUGAGAGACUUUUGUGAGGCUGACUUGGCUUUUGGACUUUUUCUAUGACUCUGAGCAGUGGAAGCUGAUCAGGGAAAAACUUUGAGUAGGUGGUCUAUAAGAGAGUUGAGUUGGCAAGGAGAAAAGGAGAAACUUUGAACUUUGUUUCUUUCUGGAGUUAAGCCGAGAGAUCUGGCUGAUUUUUUAAGAAGAAGAAAGAAGAUUUUGAACUGCUGUUGUCCUCCAUCUUCCUAACUGUCUAAGAGUCACACUUGUGACUCCCCAAACCCUCAAAUUUAUCUCAUUUAGAUUAGGGAAAUUCCUCAUCCCUCUUACCUCACUUUCCCAUCCUGUUAUCCUAAUAAACCCCUUGACUGAGAAAGCA
rnacentral:lncRNA from 1 species